rnacentral:rRNA from 6 species
GCUGGAGAACUGAGGGGGGCUGCUCCUAGUACGAGAGGACCGGAGUGGACGCAUCACUGGUGUUCGGGUUGUCAUGCCAAUGGCACUGCCCGGUAGCUAAAUGCGGAAGAGAUAAGUGCUGAAAGCAUCUAAGCACGAAACUUGCCCCGAGAUGAGUUCUCCCUGAGACUUAGAGUCUCCUGAAGGAACGUUGAAGACGACGACGUUGAUAGGCCGGGUGUGUAAGCGCAGCGAUGCGUUGAGCUAACCGGUACUAAUGAACCGUGAGGCUUAACCUUACAACGCCGAAG